rnacentral:lncRNA from 1 species
CUAACUGCAAAACUCCAGAGAUCUCUGCCUAUCCCCAGUCCUGGGACCUUGCAGGAUUAGAAUCUGAUGGAUUGCCUACAACACACUUCUCCAGUUCUCCAGCCUCCUAGGGACCUGCAGAGGUCCCUCUAUCCCAGGACCUUGAGCUGCUCCACUCUAUACCGAAAUUUGCUAACGUUCUGUCCUGGAACAGAAGGAGAUGGAUUCUUCAGUUCAGGCUUUGACGUUUGUCUCUUCAGGACUCCAGGAAUUUCUUCCCGGUCUGACGCAGAGAAACUCGCCUAAGGACCAAGCAGAAAUAGGGACCUACACCCAAUUGGUUUAUUCAAAACCCUGGGUUAAAUCUAUUUGAAAUUUGAUAUUAAACCUUUGUCUCUUCU